ensembl:lincRNA
AGAUGCCAAAGUUUCCAUUGGAAAACCUGCACGUGUCAGGGACCACCAAACAAUUCUUGCAAACCCAGACCCUCUGCGGCCAGGGUCGGGUGAUGGGGAGGAGCUGCGAGGAUUAGUUGCCGUUGAAGGGGGCUCCGCCAAUGAAAUCUUCUCUGCGCUCUGAUUUGGCGGUUCUUCGGUGCAAAUAUGACAGCUUUCUCUCUCAGCUCUUUUCUGCAUCUCUCCAUGUCCGACCCCGGAGCCCAGUUCUCGGUCUGCAAUUUCUACACCACAACCUUUGCAAUCACCACCACCACCACCCCUAGGUCCCAUGUCAGCAGGUGCCAGGUUGCUACAAAGGUGACAGGGCACAUUGGGAAGAAGGCUUGUUGAUUGCAGAAGAUACUUAUGCCCCGUGUUUCCAGGUGGGGAAAUGUUAGAAUAAAUGUACUUUGUACUAAAUAUAUAGUCAUGGAGAAUUGUUCAGAUUGUUUAUUUCUUUCUUUGAUGCUAACUAAUGUAUUAGAAAGAAACAGAUAUUUAUCUGUCUUUGCUGUUUUUUUUUUCUUUCUUCCCAAACAGGUCGAUGCCUGUGUGUUCCAUCAGUUAAUGGGGAGUAGUAGUUAAGAGAGUGUACUAGUGAGGUGUUGGUGAGGUGGGAUUUUGCUGUCUAUCGAGGAAAAUAAAAGAUGUGAACUUCC